CUCUAACUCAAAAAAUUACAUUAAUUCUUUAGCGAGUAUUAGAAUCCACAGGGACUGUAUUCGGGCCCGAGUGUGGCUCAACCAACCCUAGUGCAUCUAUGGGUAGGUUCAUAACCAAUUAUUUCUCCAAACAACUUCUAGCAAUGGGUUCUGCCCCAGAUGUCCCUUCAGCAGGCAUGUGGUGCCUCCAUUGAAAAUCCUGAUUAGGUCUAAUCAUUAACAUAACAUACCAAG
rnacentral:lncRNA from 1 species